GAUGAACGCUGGCGGCAGGCCUAACACAUGCAAGUCGAACGGUAACAGGAAACAGCUUGCUGUUUCGCUGACGAGUGGCGGACGGGUGAGUAAUGUCUGGGAAACUGCCUGAUGGAGGGGGAUAACUACUGGAAACGGUAGCUAAUACCGCAUAACGUCGCAAGACCAAAGAGGGGGACCUUCGGGCCUCUUGCCAUCGGAUGUGCCCAGAUGGGAUUAGCUAGUAGGUGGGGUAACGGCUCACCUAGGCGACGAUCCCUAGCUGGUCUGAGAGGAUGACCAGCCACACUGGAACUGAGACACGGUCCAGACUCCUACGGGAGGCAGCAGUGGGGAAUAUUGCACAAUGGGCGCAAGCCUGAUGCAGCCAUGCCGCGUGUAUGAAGAAGGCCUUCGGGUUGUAAAGUACUUUCAGCGGGGAGGAAGGGAGUAAAGUUAAUACCUUUGCUCAUUGACGUUACCCGCAGAAGAAGCACCGGCUAACUCCGUGCCAGCAGCCGCCGUAA
rnacentral:rRNA from 1 species